GAUAUUAUGAUUUAAAUUGCAACUUACAAGAAUAUUUCAUGGUCUUUCAGGUACUUAAAGGCAUGUGCGAUAUGAACUCCCAAAUAUUCCGAAAUCACGUCAGAGAUUUCUAUCCAUUUAUUACAAAACUUGUCUGCUGUGACCAGAUGGAUGUACGUGGAGCACUUGCAGAUCUUUUUAGUAGGCAGUUGAACUCAUUGAUGGUGGCGUAGGGAACUAUAAGAGGGAUUCCCUGAAAGGUUAUAUGAACAUCACUGGUGGACGAUGUGACGUGAAAUAUGAAAAUCACUGGUGGACAUGAAGAAUAUGAGACGGAAUAGAAUCAGCAGCUAUUGUGUGGUGGUUCCUGUUUUGGAUGUCUCCUAGCCAUGUGUAACAAACGAGUUUUAUUGGGUUUAAAUUUUAGUUAUUUAUUUGCCUGGGGAAGCCAAAACAAAAAUAGACAUUUGUCGUGUAUAGCUGUAUGGUGGAACAGUGCGUUUUUAGUUUCUU